rnacentral:rRNA from 1 species
GGUUAAGUGACUAAGCGUACACGGUGGAUGCCUUGGCAGUCAGAGGCGAUGAAAGACGUAGUAACUUGCGAUAAGCCCAGAUUAGGUAGUAACAACCAUUUGAGUCUGGGAUUUCUGAAUGGGGAAACCCACGUGCAUAAGCACGUAUCCUUACCUGAAUACAUAGGGUAAGGAGGCGAACCGGGGGAACUGAAACAUCUAAGUACCCCGAGGAAAAGAAAUCAACCGAGAUUCCGAAAGUAGCGGCGAGCGAAAUUGGACUAGCCCUUAAGCUUUACACGCGUUAGACGAACGGUCUGGAAAGUCCGACGAUACAGGGUGAUAGUCCCGUAGUUGACGACGUGUGUUCAGUGAAAUCGAGUAGGGCGGGACACGUGAUAUCCUGUCUGAAUAUGGGGGGACCAUCCUCCAAGGCUAAAUACUACUGACUGACCGAUAGUGAACCAGUACCGUGAGGGAAAGGCGAAAAGAACCCCUGUGAGGGGAGUGAAAUAGAACCUGAAACCGUGUACGUACAAGCAGUAGGAGCAGGCUUGUCCUGUGACUGCGUACCUUUUGUAUAAUGGGUCAGCGACUUAUAUUCAGUGGCAAGGUUAACCAUCUAGGGGAGCCGUAGGGAAACCGAGUCUUAACUGGGCGUUCAGUCUCUGGAUAUAGACCCGAAACCAGGUGAUCUAGCCAUGGGCAGGUUGAAGGUUGAGUAACAUCAACUGGAGGACCGAACCGACUAAUGUUGAAAAAUUAGCGGAUGACUUGUGGCUAGGGGUGAAAGGCCAAUCAAACCUGGAGAUAGCUGGUUCUCCCCGAAAGCUAUUUAGGUAGCGCCUCGGACGAAUACUACUGGGGGUAGAGCACUGUUAAGGCUAGGGGGUCAUCCCGACUUACCAACCCUUUGCAAACUCCGAAUACCAGUAAGUACUAUCCGGGAGACACACGGCGGGUGCUAACGUCCGUCGUGGAGAGGGAAACAACCCAGACCGCCAGCUAAGGUCCCAAAUUACUACUAAGUGGGAAACGAUGUGGGAAGGCUCAGACAGCCAGGAUGUUGGCUUAGAAGCAGCCAUCAUUUAAAGAAAGCGUAAUAGCUCACUGGUCGAGUCGGCCUGCGCGGAAGAUGUAACGGGGCUAAGUAGUAAACCGAAGCUGCGGCAAUAUACUUUUGUAUAUUGGGUAGGGGAGCGUUCUGUAAGCGGUUGAAGGUGUGUGGUAACGCAUGCUGGACGUAUCAGAAGUGCGAAUGCUGACAUGAGUAACGAUAAAGGGGGUGAAAAACCUCCUCGCCGGAAGACCAAGGGUUCCUGUCCAACGUUAAUCGGGGCAGGGUAAGUCGACCCCUAAGGCGAGGCCGAAAGGCGUAGUCGAUGGGAAACGGGUUAAUAUUCCCGUACUUCUUACAAUUGCGAUGGGGGGACGGAGAAGGCUAGGUGGGCCUGGCGACGGUUGUCCAGGUUCAAGUGCGUAGGCUUAAGAGUUAGGUAAAUCCGGCUCUUUUUAAGGCUGAGACACGACGUCGAGCACCUACGGGUGUGAAGUCAUUGAUGCCAUGCUUCCAGGAAAAGCCUCUAAGCUUCAGAUUGUAAGGAAUCGUACCCCAAACCGACACAGGUGGUCGGGUAGAGAAUACCAAGGCGCUUGAGAGAACUCGGGUGAAGGAACUAGGCAAAAUGGUACCGUAACUUCGGGAGAAGGUACGCUCUUGAUGGUGAAGUCCCUUGCGGAUGGAGCUGACGAGAGUCGCAGAUACCAGGUGGCUGCAACUGUUUAUUAAAAACACAGCACUGUGCAAAAUCGUAAGAUGACGUAUACGGUGUGACGCCUGCCCGGUGCCGGAAGGUUAAUUGAUGGGGUUAGACUUCGGUCGAAGCUCUUGAUCGAAGCCCCGGUAAACGGCGGCCGUAACUAUAACGGUCCUAAGGUAGCGAAAUUCCUUGUCGGGUAAGUUCCGACCUGCACGAAUGGCGUAAUGAUGGCCACGCUGUCUCCACCCGAGACUCAGUGAAAUUGAAAUCGCUGUGAAGAUGCAGUGUACCCGCGGCUAGACGGAAAGACCCCGUGAACCUUUACUACAGCUUGGCACUGAACAUUGACCCUACAUGUGUAGGAUAGGUGGGAGGCUUUGAAGCACGUACGCCAGUAUGUGUGGAGCCGUCCUUGAAAUACCACCCUUGUAGUGUUGAUGUUCUAACGUCGACCCCUAAUCGGGGUUGCGGACAGUGCCUGGUGGGUAGUUUGACUGGGGCGGUCUCCUCCCAAAGAGUAACGGAGGAGCACGAAGGUGGGCUAAUCACGGUUGGACAUCGUGAGGUUAGUGCAAUGGCAUAAGCCCGCUUGACUGCGAGAAUGACAAUUCGAGCAGGUGCGAAAGCAGGUCAUAGUGAUCCGGUGGUUCUGAAUGGAAGGGCCAUCGCUCAACGGAUAAAAGGUACUCCGGGGAUAACAGGCUGAUACCGCCCAAGAGUUCAUAUCGACGGCGGUGUUUGGCACCUCGAUGUCGGCUCAUCACAUCCUGGGGCUGAAGUCGGUCCCAAGGGUAUGGCUGUUCGCCAUUUAAAGUGGUACGCGAGCUGGGUUUAGAACGUCGUGAGACAGUUCGGUCCCUAUCUGCCGUGGGCGUUGGAAGAUUGAAGGGGGCUGCUCCUAGUACGAGAGGACCGGAGUGGACGAACCUCUGGUGUUCGGGUUGUGUCGCCAGACGCAUUGCCCGGUAGCUAAGUUCGGAAUCGAUAACCGCUGAAAGCAUCUAAGCGGGAAGCGAGCCCUGAGAUGAGUCUUCCCUGAUACUUUAAGUAUCCUAAAGGGUUGUCGGAGACUACGACGUUGAUAGGUCAGGUGUGUAAGUGCUGUGAGGCAUUGAGCUAACUGAUACUAAUUGCCCGUGAGGCUUAACCAU